GCCCACCCAUCGCCUUCCUCCCCAAGUCGGUCUCCAGCUCCCACACGUCAACGCCACCACGGCUUGGAUCGGACCACGCGAGAUUGGCGCUUUCCCCUAACCCCCUCUCCGAUCUGUGGCCGCGGGGAGACUCGUCUCGAUUCCCUUGUCUGAUUCCCAACAUCGCCGCUCCAGAUCCGCGCCGAUUUCUUGCUCGCCGAUCUUGCCAGAGUCUGCCGCCUGAAACUUCUGUAGCCCGUCGAGUUCGUCGCCAACCGAGGGGCACACCGGAGCAACCAGCCGCUGCCGAGCCGAAGCUCCUGGGCAGCCGUCGUGCACGUCUUCAUCGCCGUCGCACAGGACACCCCCGUCGUCGUUUCGGUCACCGCUACCUCCGCCGCUCAAAGCCGCAUCCGCCCGCCCCUUCACCCUCGCCGGAGGAUCGCCGGAGAGUCGCCGUCACCGAUCCCCGACCCGCCGCCGCUUCCCCUGCUUCUGAGAUUGCUCGGAGCAUGACGAGUAGAAUUAUCAGGAAUUGUGAGUGCGACAAACUUCAUCAAACAUACAGGCAAG